rnacentral:rRNA from 1 species
UACAGAGGUCCCGAGCGUUGUUCGGAUUCACUGGGCGUAAAGGGUGCGUAGGUGGCAUGGUAAGUUUGAUGUGAAAGCUCAGGGCUCAACCCUGAAAUGGCAUUGAAUACUACUGUGCUGGAGGUUUGGAGGGGGGACUGAAAUUCUUGGUGUAGCAGUGAAAUGCGUAGAUAUCAAGAGGAACACCAGUGGCGAAGGCGAGUCCCUGGACAACACCUGACACUGAGGCACGAAAGCCGGGGGAGCAAACAGG